AGAGCAAGCCGUUCAGCCACGCGUCUUUGUUUAUUUUUUAAACAAAGAGUGAGGAAAGUCUGAACGCCCACACUUUUGUGUGUCGUAGUAAUGGAUAACGUCCAUCAAAUUAGCAGUAAUGUUAAUUUAGGGAAAGCGCCACAGAGACAAUACUAGCAGAAAUAUUUUUAAUAUUUUAAGCUAAAGGUGAAAAGUGCGUUAGUGUUUAUUGGUUUAUUAUUCGCUUUAUCAGCUGAAUAGCGAAACUAGUAAGCUAUAACGCUUCUUGCAUAGUGAUAUGCAAUGAUGGCAAGCCCUACCUGGCGCAAGGCCGUGUCUUAACUAUUAUAAGUUAAGGAGCGCCGCAAAGAUUUUAUCGGUAACGAUAAAACAAGAUAAAUGGCUGUUAAAACAGAAUUCAGCUUAUGAGCUUGCUCUGAUA
rnacentral:RNase_P_RNA from 1 species